AUUGGUGUAUUUGAAUUUUAUUUCUUUUUAAUUUUUAUUCAAUUUCUUAUCUCGGAUUGUGUUCAAUUUUAAUGUUUAGGUAUAAUAUUUUCUCUAAUCCGAAAUAUAAAGUUUAUAACAAUUCAUCUAUGCACCAUGAUAAUAAAAUAUAAAUAUUAACUUUAACUUAUGUAUGAAAAUGAUAUUUAAUAUAAAAUAAAUCUCAAACUAUAUAUGUAAAAAAUAAUCAUAAAACUCUAAUAAAAUGAUUUAUUAUUUUAUGAUUUUUAUUAAAUUAAAAUAUCAAACAAAACCCGUUGGAACGCAACGGGCUCAUAUCUUAUAUUAAU
rnacentral:lncRNA from 1 species